UAUGUGAUCGUCUCUCGCAUAUCAAUAAGCGGAGGAAAAGAAACUAACAAGGAUUCCCCCUAGUAACGGCGAGUGAAGCGGGAAGAGCUCAAAUUUGAAAUCUUAAAGGGUUUCCCUUUACGAAUUGUAGUUUAAAGAAGUGUUUUCUGUUGAGGUUUUGGUAAAAGUUCUUUGGAAUAGGACAUCAUAGAGGGUGAGAAUCCCGUAUUUGACCUUUACUUUCAACUUUGUGAUACACUUUCAAAGAGUCGGAUUGUUUGGGAAUGCAGUCCAAAAUGGGUGGUAAAUUUCAUCUAAAGCUAAAUAUUGGCGAGAGACCGAUAGCGAACAAGUACCGUGAGGGAAAGAUGAAAAGAACUUUGAAAAGAGAGUUAAACAGUACGUGAAAUCGUCAAAAGGGAAGCGUUUGACACCAGUGUUGUUUUUCUGAAAAUCAAUUAAAGAACUGUUUAUGCUAAGCUGUUUAGACUUUAUCAGCUAUCUGUUUAGUUUUGAGCUUUUCUUUAAUGCACUUUUCAGUUAACAAGUCAACAUCAAUUUCUUUUGCUGUAAAAAAGCUUGAGGAAGGUGGCUUGAGAUUCGUCUUAAGUGUUUAUAGCCUCUUGCCUAUGCAGUCGGAGAGAUUGAGGUCUGCAGCGUAGAUCCUUCGGGGCUAAAUGCAUUUGUGCUAAGUUAUAGCAUUUUAUAGACAACUUGUUGACUAUGAUUUGUCUUGUAGCUUACUCGCUUAUGUUAUUUUACCUACGCUUAGGAUGUUGAGUAGCGACAUACGCAC
rnacentral:rRNA from 1 species